rnacentral:lncRNA from 1 species
AAACCUCAACAACAACAUGACAAAGACGAGGAGUGCGAGGGAGAGAGAGCGUCAGCUUUAAUUUCUUAUCUUGUAUUAAAAAUUCAACUUCCUAUAAUAAAAUUGAUUUGAUUGUUUGAAACUAUGUCUGUUGUUUCUGUUUAUUGAGAGCUGAUACUUUUGGCACAAAAUUAGUUUUUCUUGCAAGCGAGACAGAGGACAAAAAUAGGCCAUGACGCAAUGGGAAGGCUCACGGUUUCUGGAUUGUGCGCAGAAGCGCGAAAAAUGCGAGUACCCCUUGUGACUCAACGCAAGUACUCAAGAGCGAUUUUCAAUGCAUUUGACUUGCACAAAGAACUAAUUUUAAAAAUGGCCGGGUUUGAAACAGAUGAGCCGGACCUUUCCGACGAGUCUGAAUAUUGUCAAGCAGUGAGAAUAGGGCGGGACGAUAAAGGCGCCGAACUUACAAUCUUUCACACACAAAGCGGAGGAUACGAAAUUCACAACGGAUACCUAGCAGAGAAGAGGAAAGGCUACAGCCAUGGUAGACGUUACGACAGGUUAACAAUAGUUACACCCAGAGGAAAGAAAAUCGUCGUUCGUCGCUACGAGGACGAUGGAGAGUUCGAUAUAAUGUCACAAGGAUAUUGGAUAAGUCAAAAGGACGUCGAACUUUAAAAAACGAGUACAUCAAUUUUACAAGAUGUCUGAAAAUGCUUAAGAAGACCUUCGACAUUUUUCCUUCGUGACUUUUUCACUAAUGUAACUUAGAAAGAUUAUCUUGCCAAUCAGUAAUAAAUAAGACACUUUUGUAACAUUCUCCAUGUGUGUAAAUGCGUCCAAAACAUUUCGCCACCCAAAACUGAACGCAGCAACAUGUAUGUGAUCAAAAUACGUUUUCUCUCUUCCGAACUCCACGAUCAAUGCAGUUCCCAAAAUAGCCUUUCGGUCAUGUUGACAUCUAAAGUACCCUACAAACGCAACACUAAACAAACCCAGAACCACGAGAACUGGGGCCUUACUGAUAAAUAAAACUGGUUUCAAUUGGAACUUGAGUUAUAGAGGGGUAAAAACUUUGAGGAGUAAUCCGAGAUAAGCAACACAUUAUUGCGAGUUCGCUGGAAGUUGGAGUGAGCGCCGGUCGGUAGAAGCAGACAAAACAUAUCGAGAGCAUAAGUGCGUGCUGAGAUGCAAAUAUCAGGUUUCUGCCAUGCGCAUUACAAUUUUGCUGAUACAUCGUAUUACCUGCGUAUACAUCACUGCCGAUUUUCGGAAAACAACAGAUAACAGCAAAUUUUUCUCUCUGCGUUUUCACCCAUUAGAUUGUCGUAGAUAAUAGACUAAGAUGUCUCAGUUUGAAUAUUGGGAACCGAUACACUCUUUCACAGAAACAGUUCGUGUUGGAAGAGGCUGAAGUUAUCUUAACGUAAUAAUUCGUUACAAUAACCCCGGUUUUGGACGAGGAGAAUUCACCGUUGAAUAUGGGUGGAAACAACGUGAACAAGAGGUGAACGGAGGACGAACACUGUGUGUUCAGACAUACGACGGACACGUUUUCCAGAUCACCCGUCGACGACGAGGAGAAUACGUAAUGCAAACACCCGGUUACUGGUUCCUGAAGGUAUAAUGCGGCUAAAAUUUGUGAAGGCUUUGCCAAGAAGAACAAAAAAUUUAUCUCUAUAUUAACUAGUCAAUCGAAUUCUAUAAUCAGUUAUAAACUAAUACAUAAAUUUUGUAGCAAUCAGCAAGAAGGAAAUAAAAUGUAAACUGUUAAGAUACAGAUACGUCUAGCCUCUUUAUUUGUAUAAUUGCAACGACGUGUAUCCCCUUACAUCAUCAAAAUUGGAUAAAAAUAUAUAAAUUUCAUCCAACACAGCUAUGGGCAAAAUAGGCACAAAUUGUAACAAGCACCUUGGCAUUUCGCAUAAGACUACAUAUAGGAAAGAGGACAAAAGCUUACUUGUUUAACGUAUUCAAACUCAAAAGUGUUAUACUAAAUCACUAUUUAGAUUCUAAGAUUUGCAGAUGGUCGAAACGAUUAGGUUUAGGAAGCACUACUUGUCGCUUCAUGAACGACCCUUUAGGGCUCACGAGCGCAGAUAUAGUGAGGUGAUCCGACUAGGCAUAGAAGAGAACAAUGCUCGAGAAAUGUUUUUUCUGACCCUCAGAAGCUAAGUGACGCUGGUUUUCUAUAAGCUAGUUUGAGAAAAACAUAUACGCAACUGGUGAUAAACUGGGUAAAUAUGUUGAUCAACCAUCUUAGUUUCGCUUGAACAAAUCCAAAAAUGUCCCCGCCUGAUCAAAAUACGCUAAAUUAUAAGAGUGACUUCGUUGAAAUAUGGAUUGCUAUGGGCCAUGGACGUCACUUAAUCAAAGUCACACGUUUUAAAAGAGGAGCAUACCAGAUAGAAAAUGGCUACUGGAUAUCGACACCAAAGCGACUUCAGUUGUCAAGAUGAGUUAGAUUCUCUGACGAACAUGGCUGUGCUAUUAUGACGGAAGCAACUAGUAUACAGUGUAUAAUGUAUCAGUUUUGUUAUGUAAGUCGUUCUCGCUCGCCUCAAAAGUUUUAAGUGAAUAAAAAUUGGGUUUGGUAAACUCAUUGUACACUCAGCUUGUUAUAUAUUUUUUCUUGGUGGAGUUCAACUGUGCUGGCUUAAAACAUGAUCUGGCACACUGGAGCAAACAUAUUGAAACAAGAAGAUCGAAAGUCAAAUUCUCAUUGCCUAUUGUCUCGCCUCACUUGUUAUGUAUUCAAAUCUUUUGGCGGGCUAUGCAUUCGCAUUGCAUAUGCACGAACUAAUCAUCUCAUCGCCAAGAAAAGGUAUCGCUGUCGUCUUCCUCAGUUUUUCUGCUAUUACCUUGGUCAAAUAUCACUCAACCAAAUACCAAGAUGUACGGGUUUCGCAAUCUAGAACCGACAAACCGAUUUUCCGAAACAGUUUAUGUUACAAGACACUUUGUUCAAGACAGAAAAUACGACGUGAAAAUCGUCUACCACAGCGAAGGGCGAGGAGUAUUUGAAGUUGAAGGAGGAAAGAAAAUUUCAGAUGAAAAAGUAGAAGGAGGUCGCAGACUAAAAAUUAAGAUUAAUCAAAUGGAAAAAUGUUUUCAUAUCACUCGGGCGCAAGGAGAAUACACAGUCUCUCCCGGAUACGAUAUAGAAGAAGAAGAACGCGUAUACUACUAGAAAGACUGACGACUUACAUUUCGCAUUCCUGAUUACUCUGGGAAUUUGAUAAAUCAAGUUCUGUCCACAAUGGAGGUCAAAUGUUUUGAUUCCUCUCAACACAGAAGUAGCCGCCAUGUUGUUUCGCAUAGUAGUUUUAACACACCAUCCUUGCUACUAAAUUAAUAUCCGCUAACAAUAGCCCCUUAACGUGACAAAUCUAAGGAGAGCUAGAAUAUGCUUUUGCUUGUCUUGGUUAAUUUCGUCGUGAAUUUCUAUCCGUUUGACGCCUUUGAGGAGCUUUUUUUCCCCUGAAGCGCGCAUAAAACUCAGCUUAAGCACAGCCUGCUGUAACAUGUAGGCAGUUAUUAGGAAACAAGUUACUGAACUCGUCUGAUUAUAAUUUAAAACUUAGCGAAGGCGUUUUUUGGAAAACUGGAAAACUUGAAUAAAUAUCCAUUCUACAUGGUUAAGUGCGAGAGUUAUUUAUGUAUCGUAGCAAGAAAAUGGAAGCGGUUAUAAGCAACUAGACAAACCGUUUGAAAACAUGCGCGUCAAAAUCAAUUGUGAAUGAAAUAUUGAGAACUGUUCUACGCACGCAUCCUCGAAUCACAUUUCACGCCUGAUUUCGUCAUAUAUGUAACGUUUGGAUACAGUAUCUGGCUCUUUGCAAUUUCGCUACACGAUGGCGCAACUACCCGCAAAGACCCAUCUCAAAUAUUAAUUAGUGGCUAAAAAUAAAUCUUUUGAGAACCAUCUAAAAAUGCGCAAAAUAAACAUUUCUCAAGUCGCACACGUUGACAAACAUACGAGAACACCAGGUACUUCGUUUUCAGAUGAGCUAAAAAUAUGUUAUGACACAAUAAGUUGGGGAAUAUCAGUGCUAGACAAUCACUGCUGAAUGCUAUAAAAGCACUGUACUUCGAUUCUCUGCUAAUUUGAUUCGAAAAUCGAAGGAUUGUGCUGCUCAAGCUGUUUUUUGUCAACAAGAAUUAAGAUGGCUUGCUUCCAAUCUAGAGAACCAAAAAAUUUAUUCGUAGAAACUGUUCAGAUUGGAAGGAACUUCGUACAUCACAAAGAUGUGACGCUUUACUACGACUCUCGUGGAAGAGGAGAAUUUUCCGCGCAAGGAGGAGAUAUACGUCACAUUCAACGCCACGGAAGAGAUCGAAGGCUAACGAUUGAAACCAAUACCGGACACAGAUUUGAUAUCACUCGUCACAGAGGGGGAGGAUAUCAUUUGAACACUGGCGGAUUCUGGUAUAAAGAGGGAGAACGUGUAUACUACUAGUUCAAAGGUUUUCCUUGGAGGAACCAUUUGUUUAUCUAUUUAUCACUAAGUUUAUCACAAGAUCCUAGGACAGUCAAGGCUGUAAUCGGCGAAAAUGUUAACACAUAAAAAUUCCGUAAUCAGCACAAUAAUAAUAAAAUUUGUAUUGUGACGACACAUAAAAGCCUGGUCUCAUCAUUUGCAUGGCUUCGAUGUCAGAAAUUCCCUAACAUCGCAAAAAGGAGCUAAAAAUAGGUCUCUUAUUAAUAAGUUGAGAAUGCGCAGUCAAAGCAAAUAUCGUGACGCGCUGGUUCGAAAACGUAAAGCGGCGGGACAAGACAAAACAGAAGAGAUAUAACGAGAAAUCAGGUUAUUUGGUGAGGAAAACAUCACAGUUCAACACCAAAUUAUCGUCUAUCUCCUCGAGGAUCGUGGUUAGUCAAAAUGAGUGACGGAUACAAUCCCCCCGAGCCAAACGCGCGCAAAUAUUGCGAAGUAAUCCAGAUAGGCAUAGAAGAUGACACUGCUGAAGUAACGCUUUUCUAUACUCCAGAAAGAGAAUUCCAAGUUAGUGAUGGAUACGUAUCGGAGGAUAAAAUGGAGAGUAAUUAUGGCCGGCGAUACCGCAAAUUGAAACUCGUUACUUCAAAAGCUAACGUGAUAGAAGUCAGGCGAUAUACCAACGGAGAAUAUCACGUGGACGCGGACGGGAGAGACUAUCACUUCGAUGGAAGAAAAGUUGAAGUAUAAACAGGAUCACUCACGAAGGACUUCAGGUGACAAGAAAGACAGCCGACAGAUCUUGAUUCCAAUCUAACGUAAACGAAAAUCAUGUUAAUUGCCAUAAAUAGUCGAAAUGUUUCUCCAUGUCUGUGCAUUGGUAAAACUGUUGCUAUAAUAAUGUAAUCAGUUCAGCAAGUUCAAAGAUUUAAAAUGCCCUUGGCGAAGCAAAAAUAAAGCAUUCUUGCCAUGUUCAGAGUCAGUUUUCUCCUUUCCAUAGCUCCGCCUACUGAAUAAUUAUAACCUCUCACGCGAAACACGCACGUUGCAGAUGAUUGAAAAAUCAAGUCAAGCUGAAGAUGGCUUUUGAUGAUCGCGCCACAAAUGACUAUUAAGCUGACAGCAUUGCCUUUAAGAGCAAAAAAUUAAACUUAGAGAUAUAAAUGAACAAGUUUUGAGUUAAAAUUGUAAGUCAAUGAAAAAGAGAAAUUAAUUCCAUGCAAGAACGUAAACAAUCACACAAGUUCAAGAGUGCGAUAAAAAUUACGUCGCUCGAGAAGCGCGCGCGAACGAGGAAGUGAAACUGAAAACUCGCCCAUCACAAACAAAAGCUUAGACAAACCUGCUGGGAGAAGCAGAUUUCUCUCAGUGUAUUCGCAAACCGCGCAUAAGAGGUUGCCUUCGAGAAAGUGCGAACAUUCAAUCACAAUUCACUUGAGGGAAAUGUCGGGGCAUGAAGGACAUGAGCCAAGACAACGAGAGGUAGUAUCCCUUGGAAGACGCUUUUGGCAUUGGAAUCCAAAUGUUAUACUACUGUACGAACUCGAUAGAAAACUUUUUCAAGCCAAGUACGGACAAAUAAAAAAGACAGAAACCUCUGGGGCAGACACAAAAGUGACACUCGAAUCGAACGACGGAUAUCGUUAUGUCGUCACUCGGCAUGGUAAAGAAGAUUAUAGCACUAAUUGGUAUAACUGGACGAAAGUUACGACUGUUUCUUAUUAGCUGUGACUGUUCAAGAGCACUGCCUAGGCCAUUCUGUACAACACUAGGAAAUUGUUGAUUAUAAACGAAGCGAAAGGCUAAUAAAGUUUUCAGCAUGGCAUAAACCAAAUAUGACUCUUCAUGUAACUUCGCUGAUUUAAGAUUUUGAGAACCAAGGGUGUGAGUUCCUGUAUUUGGCCUGAAUAAGGUGAAGAAAUAUGGGCGUAGGAUAUUGAACAACCACUAUGCAGGCAUGUAAGCAAUUAUUAGCUCCUUUUGAGUAAAGACGAAUAACAAAGUCGACAUGACUUUUCCUCACGACAAGAGGGCCCACUUCAAUCGCUAUUCGUUUAGCAAAAUUGAGUAUUAGCAAAGGUAGAUUUACUAUGUAGGCACGUUCGUGCAGUCCUUCCAAUCCGCUUACCAUGAGGGAAAUACAAAAUUUUUUUCUGACUGUAGUCAUUUCUGCUGUGGACAAAAUAAUAAGAGAUGUACUUUUCUUCUUUGUAGUAUCACUCAAAGAGAACUUCCAGCUUGCAAGAGCUCACUAGAGACGGCUUAUACGUUUAACUUCAUCGACAUGUUUCUCUGAGUUCUUAAGAAAUCACAAUUAUGUUGACUGCAGUAAACAACACUCGAAACGUUCCUCCUUGCAUGUUCAUUGCUAAAAACUAUUGUCACAAGAACACGUGAUCAACUCCGUAAGCCUUAGAAACGACGAAUCGCUGCAUAACGGUGAUUCCCCACAAAUUAUCAAAAAAAAUCAAAAUGACCUUACUGAGGCAAAAACAGAAUCUUCUCGACGUACUGGUCUGUGGUCUGUUCAGAUUCAAUUUGUUUGCUUGCCUUCGCUCCGGCCUCUGAGUGUUAAUCAAAAGUAACGAGCGGGCUUACGAUGAUUGAAAUGAUGAAGCGACACGCCUAAUGUUGAUUAUGAAAAUGAUCGCACUCGAAACGCAAGCCUUGGCUGGUUAAAUUACUUUCAGCUGAAAUAGAAUUUCUGAAAAUUUAGUGAGGGACAGAAAUAAAGACAAACAAGUUUUAAGUGUCUGUUGCUAAGCAGAAAUCCAAGAGAGGAAGAAAGGAAACGGGAAAUAACAAUAUUAGCUCACGAGAGGAAACGCGCGGCUGGACGCGUUCGCGCGUAAAGGAAGUGGGAGAGAUUUAAUUUUGUUGUGUGAUUCACGACGGCUCGAAGACACCAAUGCCCCCCAAUAAGUCUUAUAAGUCGCGAAUCGCAAACUGCUUAAAGGCCAUUACGAAAACACACACACAAUUUUAAAACGCAAAUACAAAUUCUUCUCUUAGAAACGUAAAUAAACUCUCAGCCGAGGUUCUCGCGCGAGGAAGAAAAGUGACGCAAAGCAGGAAGCGUGCUUGCGAACAUGGAAGCGAGGCCAUACACACGAACCAAUCAUUAAGAAGAAGAGGAGCUGAGACUACGAAAUAAAGCGGAUAUUUCCGGUUUGAUCUGCAUUGCGGUAGAGGACGUUUUCUUGAAAACAUCGCAAUUUAUACAAACGAAAACCUGAAAGACAUGUCUUGGUAUGAACCAGACGAGCCUCGGUAUCGAGAAGAAGUGUCUCUUCGAAAAAAAGAAUUUCAUCCCGUCAACUAUGUCGAUGUCGUACUUACUUACAAUUUAACUACUGGAGCUUUUAGAGCAAGGGGUGGACGGUGCAGCACACCGAUACAAAAUCGGUGGGGGUACCCAACAGUGACUAUUACAUCGAACUACUCAGGAUAUAGUUAUGAAGUGACCCGACGUGGGCCAGAAGACUAUACCACUGACAACAGAGCUAACGGGAUGAGAGUGGAAACAGUUUGUUAUUAGUUGUGAAUACUCAACGGUGUUGAUACAACAAGUUUAUAAUUAGCUAAAACGUUACGCUUGAAGUGUAAAACAAGGAAAUAAAGUUCAUGACCCAGUAUCAAUAACACUGUCUCUAUCAUUCUACAAAAUUAAACAACUAUUGACGACUAAAACACAACGCGCGAGAGAGAUAGUUAAUGCACAUCAGUAAUACUAUCUUUUUUUAAGGAAAGAUAUGCGCUUUUUACGUUCAAUUAUUAACAAUCACCCGAACCAAAUCUUAUCUACGUUUCUGUUCGACUAGAGGUUCUAGAAUUCCAAUGUCUUGCUCAGUUAAUGUUUCUUUGAGUCCUAUCAGGAGAUCCAAGAAAAAUAUGAGUAGGGGGAGAGAAGAAAGUUCCAUGAGAGAGAUUUAUUUGGUGCUAGUUGGGUGUUUUUCGAUAGCAUGACAUUGCUAGCUACAUUUCAAUAAGAAUUUGCUCAUAUCUCCAAUUUCAAACUCUCACAGGAACUGCUAUGACUUCACCAUUGUAACAGUGCGCGCGUUGGCAUUAUGGGAUCCGUGACAUCAUGAAUAAAUUCCGCACCAAGAAAGUGCUUACUCGUGUCAUUUUUGCGAUUUCAAACUCCGCCGCAAAGAAGAUAACACCUCUUUCUUGAUAUACACUUUUAGCUUUGUCAUGAGCUGGUAUCCACCUCCCGAUUUUGUCGAUAACACCUGCGAAAUUGUGAAAGUCCAGACUAAUCUAGGUCAACAUGUAGCGACAAUCUUUCGCAAGCCACCAAAUGGAGAAUUCGAAGUUCACGGGGCUUGUUUGGUUCGUAAUGAACUGGUACAGGACUUCGACUGGCGACGUAAUCGGAAUCGCCCAUAUAGAAAACUACGAAUCGUAACUUCUUUGGGAAGCGUUUUGGAUAUCAAGCGCCGUGGCACAAAUGAUUACGAGAUUGAAACUUCAGGAUUUCACUUGACUGGAGUAAAGUCGGUGAGCAUUUGAGUGAGGCUUAGAAAUGAAGACGAUACGACUCCUGAAUGUAGAAAAUAGCACUGUAAUGAUUUUGUCAGUAGAAUAAACAUUAUUUCUAAAUGCCAUGUGCUUACGCCUUGUUGCUAUAAUCACUUGUUCACAGCUAUGGGCUAGAAAAACAAAGCAAUAAACGCAAAUCGGUGUAAGUUUCCCUUUAGGAUAAAGCCAAAACUCGACCAAAAAAGACGCAUUUGUAAAUUAAAAAUGACGUAAUAUCUAAAAUAACACGGUAACUCUGGGCGAAAGUGAUGAAGAUCUGUCUGCUCAAUACCAUCCCCCCUUUCAUUCUUUUCGACUAAAUCAAUAUUCACAGUUGGAAAGGCUAGCAAAUCUGACAAGCGACGCGAAGUAUUAUGUUGACCGCGACGAUGAACGAUUCGUCCUCUUGAAUCCCUUAAAUUUCAAUGUUUUGUAUAAUGUACAGUGGUAAAGUGAUAAGUGAAAGUUAAACGAGCAUAACGACAAACGCACGACAAAAGAUGACCCUGCGCGCAGUGAUGGUAAACAAACUGUGGAUGCACGCGCACGCACGCAACGCGAGAAACAUGCGUGGAGGGAAACAACAAGAAACUAGGUAGUUUGACGAAAGGAUACAUUGUGAGAUGCACAAUCUUUGGGAAAGUUUCUUUACCUCCUCGUCCUUCUUAUCACAAGAAUUGCUAAGCACAAAGGGAAAAGCCUAUUUUCCUCCCUUGGCGGCCGAACAGUGUAAUAUCAAACCAUCAGAUAAUGUUAUGCAGAUUUGAAAGUCAGAAAUGGAAUUGUUGACUAAACCCUAGUGAAAUUCGAUUGACUCAAACCUACUUCCUGUAUCUCUAUACCUUUUGCUUUCCUUCAAUAAAAGUGCACUGCAAUGCAACACGCACUAAUCUCAACAAACUUAUGGCUACCACCUCUCAGAGCAAAUACCUCAACGUACAGAACGAGAAGGAUAUCAUAAGAGCCUCAAAAUGUAUCCUAUAUAAAGUCAAUUUUAGAUUGCACGGAGCAUUUUUUGGCCCCCGACAUGUAUUCAUUGCGACUGUCAGUGUUUAUACAUGACGCACCAAGUAAAUUAGCAUGCUAACCAGAGUCCCACAAGGAGCGCAUGUCACUGUGACGUCUGAAGUACGCGGCCGGCGCUACUGGGCAAAAGAGUAAAAGACUCCGUCCAUUAUCACUGCGUCUCGAUCAUAUGCAACAUGGCUGAGCCGGUUGAGCCCUCCAAUGAUUUCAUUGAGUUUGUGAUUGUACAGAGAGCUUUUGUUUCCUCUCCAGAAGCGAUAAUAUUAUACGAAUCAAGGAACCGAACCUUUACGGUACAAGCUGGAUAUUUGGUUAACGAAUCAAGAGAGCAAAAUGGGCGACGCCUUUCAAUCAUAACUACCGCUGGAACCAUUUUAGAAAUCAAACGAGGGAAGCGAGGGGACGUUCAGAGAAGAUACACGAUUGAAGACAAUAGUUUCAGUCUCGCUGUCUCCAGAACGUAUUUGCUGUAUUAACUCCAAGCUAGAAAACUUUAUCGAGGUCGUUCAAGUAAGGAGGAUGCUUCCUAUUAAAGCAUAUUUAAUUCAAGUAAUCUGUUAAAACAAUGGCCACGUAAUAAAUUACAAGAAUUCAGCGAGUUUAUUCUCAAACAAGUUUCUCUCUGCGACUGCAUACGGAUCUACAGUUUGAUCUUGUGAAUUUCCUCGAAAAAAAGAAAUGCAGACGAAUAAUACGACCACCAAUCGAAUAUUUGACAAAAAUAAAAAGCGCACGCACACAUUCUUUCCCUAGAAAGGACUCGAAAAGCCUCCAACAACUUUUGAGGUGCAACAGAUAAACAUCUACUUCUCCUUACGUGUAGCUCCUCCCCAUCAGGCGAGGGUGGAAUUGAUUAGCUUUCUUUAUCAUCGAUACCUCACGCGAUGAAAGAAAACUCCAUGGAAUAAAGAUUUCUUUGGUUAAAAACUUAAUGAUAAAUACCGUACGAAUAAGCACUCAAAAGCUAAGCACAGUUUCACUAUAUAAGAAAAUUGACCAUAUUUAAAGGUAAAAUACUUCUUUAGGAGAAAAAAGAAAGGCAGGCGUGUUGAGCAAGCGACCAAAUCUCUUCAAGACAAAAGCCUUAAGAAGAGCGCAAUAUCAAGGACGACCGAUAUGAUGACCUGUCUGCCUUUUAGUUGUGCCAGCAUUCUCAAGACUAUCAUAAACAAGUUUACCAGCCGCAGUACACCAUUGCGUUUUUUUGCUACGCAGAUAAACAAAUCAAAAACGAAGUGCUUUUGUUGUAUGAUAUCCUUCACUAAGCAAUAUGGGUACUACUUCGAGCGAAAAAAAAAA